UAGGACUCUCGGCAAUGGAUAUCUUGGCUCUUGCAUCGAUGAAGAGCGCAGCGAAAUGCGAUAGCGCGUGGUGUGAAUUGCAGAAUCCCGUGAACCAUCGAGUUUUUGAACGCAAGUUGCGCCCGAGGCCAAUUGGCUAAGGGCACGUCUGCCUGGGCGUCAAGCGC
rnacentral:rRNA from 1 species